GACGAACGCUGGCGGCGUGCUUAACACAUGCGAGUCGAACGGAAAGGCCCUGCUUUUGUGGGGUGCUCGAGUGGCGAACGGGUGAGUAACACGUGAGUAACCUGCCCUUGACUUUGGGAUAACUUCAGGAAACUGGGGCUAAUAUCGGAUAGGAGCUCCUGCUGCAUGGUGGGGGUUGGAAAGUUUCGGCGGUUGGGGAUGGACUCGCGGCUUAUCAGCUUGUUGGUGGGGUAGUGGCUUACCAAGGCUUUGACGGGUAGCCGGCCUGAGAGGGUGACCGGCCACAAUAGGACUGAGAUACGGCCCAGACUCCUACGGGAGGCAGCAGGCGGGAAUAUUACACAAUAGGCGGAAGCCUGAUGCAGCAACGCCGCGUGCGGGAUGACGGCCUUCUAGUUAUAAACCGCUUUCGCCUGUGACGAAGCGUGAGUGACGGUAAUGGGUAAAGAAGCACCGGCUAACUACGUG
rnacentral:rRNA from 1 species